rnacentral:tRNA from 1 species
GGAGAGGUGGCCGAGAUUGGUCUAAGGCGUCCGCUUGCUAAGCGGAAGUCCAUCCCAAAAAGGAUGGACCGUGGGUUCGAAUCCCACCCUCUCCG